UACGGGGGGGGCAAGCGUUGUUCGGAAUUACUGGGUGUAAAGGGCUCGUAGGCGGCCAACUAAGUCCGACGUGAAAUCCCCAGGCUUAACCUGGGAACUGCGUCGGAUACUGGAUGGCUUGAAUCCGGGAGAGGGAUGCGGAAUUCCAGGUGUAGCGGUGAAAUGCGUAGAUAUCUGGAGGAACACCGGUGGCGAAGGCGGCAUCCUGGACCGGCAUUGACGCUGAACGGCGAAAGCUAGGGGAGCAAACGGG
rnacentral:rRNA from 1 species